ACUUAAUCAUUAUUAGUCAUGAUCUUUAAAAUAAAAAAUUUUGGCGGUAUUUUAGUCUUUUUAGAGGAACCUGUUUUUUAAAUGAUAAUCCACGAUUUAAUUAACUUUUAUUAUUAGUUUGUAUAUCGUCGUAAUUAAAUAUUUUUAUAGAAUUAUAAUAUUUAAAAUUUUUUUAAAAAAAUUAAUCAGAUCAAGGUGCAGUUUAUAUAAAAGUUUAAAUGGGUUACAUUAAAUUUAUUUUUGGAUUUUAAAUAUUAUUAUUUUAAUGAAAUUGGAUUUAAUUGUAAUAUUAAUUAAUUAAUUAAUAUGAUUUUGGCUCUAAAAUAUGU
rnacentral:rRNA from 1 species